UACAGAGGGUGCAAGCGUUAAUCGGAAUUACUGGGCGUAAAGCGUGCGUAGACGGUUAUGUAAGUCAGAUGUGAAAGCCCCGGGCUCAACCUGGGUAUUGCAUUUGAGACUGCAUAGCUAGGGUGCGGAAGAGGGAAGCGGAAUUUCCGGUGUAGCGGUGAAAUGCGUAGAUAUCGGAAGGAACACCAGUGGCGAAAGCGGCUUCCUGGUCCAGCACCGACGUUCAGGCACGAAAGCGUGGGGAGCAAACAGG
rnacentral:rRNA from 1 species